CGUUCACGGGCCUUGUACACACCGCCCGUCACACCAUGGGAGUUGGUUUUACCUUAAGCCGGUGCCUUAACCCGAAAGGGAGAGAGCCGACCACGGUAGGGUCAGCGACUGGGGUG
rnacentral:rRNA from 1 species